GUUAAUUAGACACCUGCAGAAUAAACGUGCCCGUGCACAGAAUUGGAAAAUUGCAGUAAUACAGUCGUGGGUUGCUGUGUUACGACAGUGAUGUGUGUUGCCGUAAAGCGUUUUUCCCGCCAUGUGGAGAGUUGGAGACUCAGCACAGUUCACGUGGUUCCACCUUGAGUCCUCCUUCCAUGUCCGUGCGUCCUUGGACAUAACAGGAAUUUCAUGUUGGGAGGGUGCUGGAGCCUAUCGCAGCUGCAUGUGGGAAGAAGGCGGUGUACACCCUGGACAAGUCUCCACCUCAUCGCAGGGCCAACACCGACAUACAGCCCCCAAUAUACUAAUUGCUUGUAUUUCGUCACGUGACUUCUUCUUACUAAAGUUGGAGAAGAUGUUCAGGAAAAAAGGCGGCAUUGCGGGACCCAAAAAGGGACCUUGUCGGAUUCACUAAAUCAGGCAUCCAGGGAGAUGGAGCGUAUUCUAGCAGUCCAGAGUCCACUCUGGACUGUUACCAGACCUUCACAGGACACACAGACAGGAACAUAUUGAAACUAGACCAGACGUCAUCUGCUGCUUGAUAAAGUACCUUGGGGAGCCAACUACUGAAUGAAAGAACACUUACCAGGAUAUCAUCACUGAAUCGCUCCAAGAAGAAUAUUCUGCAUUCAGUGGCAGGACAUCAGCCAUUAGCCUUCACUCUGCUACUUGGAGACAUCACAAUAGAGUUGGUAUUUUCUUAUCCUUGUGUCAAAAUGGCAUUGGCGCCUUUCUGACAUCACAUGUGAGACUGUUCGCUGGCUGUGGUUAGAGACCAUCAAGUGUCCAUCUCCUUGUUUGAGUGGACACAGCAGGUAGACGUUCUCCACGCUGAGCUUCAUUA